GCUGCUCAGCACCAGUGGCCUCAGCCCAGUGCCAGCGUGCUGGGACGGGUACACUCGUGCCUGUUAACCGCACACCUGCGUGCAGCACGGGCACACUCGUAUACAACGGGCACACAUGCACGUCAGCCGCACACUCAUGCACGUUCAUGUGCUGUCUCUAGUGUUUUCUGAGAAACGGGAUUUUCCUUGGGUGAAACGAGGAAGUCGUAGGAGACCCACCUCAGAUGCUCGGGUGCACAUCUGGGGAGAGUCAACCGCCCAGCAUGGCUUUUGGCUUUGGGGGAUUCCGUUCCUUUGCUGCUGCCUUGGCCACAGGCCUCCACAGCCCUCUGCUGUGUCUGUGCACCUUCUCCAUCCCUCUCUCGUUUGGGCUCCGGUUCCCGCAGAAUUGGCAUCCAGGUGAGGUGCCUGUGGGCAGAGCUGUUGAUGGAAGAGGGUGUGGUCAGAGGCAGGGCAGUUAUUGUAGGAAGAACCCCCAGGAGCAGGUGGCCGACGCAGGCACCCUCAGAUCUGAGAUCCAGACAAGAGGCAGCGCUGGGUUCAGAUCACCACACAACCUGUAUCAGCUUGUGAUCCCGAACAAAAACCCGUCUUCCCAAGCCUGUUGACGAUGAUGGUAACGGCACCGUGCUCACUCCAACGCCGUGGCUGUGAGCGGAGCCAGCUUCAAAGCACUGGGUCCAGGGCGCCUGCUCGCGGUCACCCAUAGGGUGGGUGGACACCCAUGGCGGCUUGCACGUUGCACGUCCCCCGGCUCAGCACCGAGCAAGUGGGCCUGGACCCUGAAGGAUGUGGCUGCUGCCCGACUCCAGAGUGACAAAUAUAGCAAAAGAGCUUGUUGGUAAAUACUGCCUGAAAACAUUGGCUUAAUUUGUCUUCUCAAAGCUGUUUUUGUUUUCUGUGGGGUUUUUUUUUUGGACGUUCCCAGCUGACUAAAUUUGCCUUCUUCCUUCAGGGACCAUCUUGGAAUAAUCUUGCUCAGCUGAAUAAUGUUGCAGACUAAAAAUAGCAAAUGCAGCCCCGAGCCUUCCUGUUGCCUCUAGGGCCUGUCCAUCCCGUCAGCCCACGGUGCCUCUACAAACACAGGUCCCUCCUCGCCGUGGUACAAUCGCCACGGCACAGGACCGAGCGUGGAGAGUUGCAGCAGUGCAGGAAGCUUUUCCUUUCUCUCAAAACAGUUACUACCAAUGUUUGUUUAUUUGAGAUAGGGUCUUGCUCUGUCUCCCAGGCUGGAGUGCAGUGGUGCAAUCGUAGCUCACUGCAGCCUCAACCUCCUGGGCUCAAGCAAUCCUCCCGCCUCAGCCUCCCAAAUAGCUGAGACUACCAGUGUGCACCACCACACCUGGCUGACUUCUUUGUAUUUUUGGUAAAGAUGGGGAUCUCACUAUGUUGCCCAGGCCGGUCUCGACCUCCUAGGCUCAAGCGAUCCUCCUACCUCAGCUUCCCAAAGUGCUGGGAUUACAGGCGUGCACCUCUGUGCUCGGCCCAUUCGAUUUUUAAAACCUUAAAUGACCCUGCAUCUUCUGCUGCCUACUUUUUCGAGGGCUUUUGGUACUUUGGAUUAUUAAGUUGUGUGAGUGAACAUGGUAAUGACCUUGCCAUAGCAGCUCUUGGUGCUCUGAAUGGCUGCGCACCAGGCAGUGCCCAAGACCUCCGUGCUCCCAGCUGGGAUUCUGUGCACAUCCAGAGUUUGUGUUUUGGGGGUGGUUGUUGUUGUUGUUUUCUUUUUGAGAUGGAGUCUUCCUCUGUCACCCAGGCUGGAGUGCAGUGGUGCAAUCUCGGCUCACUGCAACCUCCGUCUCCCGGGUUCCGGAGAUUCUCCUGCCUCAACCUCUCGGGUAGCUGGGAUUACAGGCACCCACCACCACGCCCGGCUAAUUUAUGUAUUUUUUUGUAGAGACGGAUUUCACCAUGUUGGCCAGGGUGGUCUCGAACUCCUGUUCUCAAGUGAUCUGCGUGCCUUGGCCUCCCAAAGUGCUGGGAUUACAGGCGUGAGCCACUGUGCCUGGCCCAGAGUUCGCUUUUUCUUUGGUUGGGGAGCUCUGACUUAAUUUCUCUCUGAAGCCAAGCAUUUCUAUUUUGUCCAAAUGUGUCAAUCAGGGGUCUGUGCCUCGUUGUGUGUGUGUGCGCUGCGUGGCUCCACGGCCCCCAUCCUAGACUGUGGUCCAGGCCAGGGCUCUGGGCUCAGCAGACAGCCAGGCUGCUUCCACUGGUCUGUGAAGCUUCUGUCUCAAUGCUCAAGGUGGCCUCAGUGUUCAGCAUGGUUGCCAGUGCCCCGGUCAUUAUGUUUCCAUUCCAGAGGGGAGAGAGGAGGGAGGGAUGGUGGGCGGUGAUCCUCUGGGUAGCUCUCUGCCCACCUCUUCUGAGACUCCCACGAGGGCUGUGCCGUAGGCCACACCCACUUUGCAUUGCUGGCCCCCAGCUGCAAGGGGAGCAGGAAAGUCACCUUUUAGCUGAGUGCGUGGCCACACAGAAAAAUAGUGGGGACAGGGAGAGGAGAAGUGGGUUUGGGGGGAGCCCCGCCCUCCUAACCCUGCCUGCUGCCCUCUGUCCCCAGCAGGAGCUCCCCCGAGGCCAUCCAAGCGCGGUGCACCCGCCACCCACAGCGUCCUCCGCGCCCACGUUGCCCUAAACCCCACUGUGCUGUGCUCUCUCGCAGUUCCUGCAGGCGCGCGUUCUCUCUCUGAAUUUGUUUCAUUUCACUGCGAGUUGGGGUCGCGGGGGUAGAUCGGAGCUGCCUCUUGAGAAUAGCAGUGCCCAGGCUUUGGCCCAGGUGGCCGGAACGCCCCUUGGAGCACCGACGCCAUCGGCUCCGGGAAAUGCAGCGAGCACAGAGCCCAGUCCCUUGGUCUGACCGGGGGCGCUGCUUUUGUUCAGAAAGCGGUGGGGGUGAUGUCAUCGGAUUUUUUUUCACUGCUGUUGCCCAAAGUGAAACCGGGCUUAGUUGUUGUCUCAGGAGCCCAGCCAGCCAGGGGGACACGGCCUCCUGCCCACAGGCAGAGGCCCGGGGCCAGAUGUCCGCUUUCUCUUUCGCUCCGCAGGAGUGAGAAGCAAGGACCUCACUGCCUUUGUGCGGCCGGGCCCCUCCGGCCAGUCUGCGUGAACGGACUCUCCGGGCCUCGCCCAUGCUCCGGGCGUGUGGCUGUGUUGGGAGGACGGGAGCUCUACUGCUUGGCAGUGGACACACCAAGGCUGCCGACUGGCCCAGUGGGUGGCGAUGCCACUUACAUGUGAUUUCUCAAUCUCCGUCAACUGCCGUGGCUGCCCGGGCUGGGCUGCCCUGUAGGUUUCAGUUCUUCAGGGCAACAGGCUGGGAUCCAGGCAAGGUGCCUGCACUCAGAGGGGUAGGGAGCCAGGGGCACAUGUGCUGGGCGUGGGCUGGGGCUUCUGGCUGGCAGGGGUGUGGGUUUGGGCCUGGUGGGAUUCCCCAUAUUAGGAAGGUGAGCUGAGCUCGGCUGCAGUGGCUGAAGCAAGGAAGUGAUUUGUCAAGCCAUUUAGACACUGUCCCUGUUUUCUUUCAACAAACAGAACUUUUUUUUUUUUUAAGCAGCGAAGACCUUUUGCUCUCUGUUGGGGUGUGAUUGGGGUUUGCAUUUGGGGGCUCUCUUGAGCUUUGCCGCUGUCUUCAAGGAUGGUAUCUAAAGGGAAAGUCUUAAAAUAAAUAACUUUGAAUUUGGAUAGGAAUGUCUAUGCAGUGAGGGACAGGAGGCUUCCGUGUGUUUCACUAGAACGUUCUUGUUUUUGGCCUACGAAUGCUUUUACUUAGGAAGCACGAGACCUGUGCUGCAGACCGUCUGUUGGAGCUGGCCGCGGCAGGACGGCGAUCACCUUCCUGGCAGGCCCCUCCUGGAUUCUGCCCUCUGCUUCUGAAAGCGUUUCCUCCAUCAGCUUUAGCAAAACUGGGCCUGGCAGAUCAUUUGAAGUCAGGAGUUCGAGACCAGCCUGACCAACAUGAUGAAACCCUGUCUCUACUAAAAAUACAAAAAAGUUAGCCGGGCACAGUGGCACGUGCCUGUAGUCUCAGCUACUCAGGAGGCUGAGGCAGGAGAAUCGCUUGAACCCGAGAGGUGGAGGUUGCAGUGAGCCAAGAUUGUGACAUUGCACUCCAGCCUGGACGACAGAGCGAGACUCCGUCUCAAAAAAAAAAAAACCGUGCCUGGGCCUUGGAGGUGCCUGAGUCCAGAAGACAGACAGCGGGAGCUCACUCCUGCCAUGUCGCUCUUGUUUCUUCUCCCCUCUGCAGGGCGGCAGCUGCUUUGCCCUCAAGACUUCUCUUUUCGCCCACUCUAUUCAUAGGGGGAAAUGACAACACAGGCGCUUUCCCUCAAACUCUGUGUAUUCAUACAUCACCAGAGUGUUCAGAGAAGUGGGAUAUUUUGGCUUCAGUGCUGAGGGCGGCCUGCUGUCCGUCCCUGCGGCAGACUGGGCCCUGUCCCACCUUCCCGUCACUCCUCGAUGUCACAUCAGAGUGCUCUCUCCUGGGUGGGAACCCGCGCACGGAGGAAACACUUUACCAGAGUAAACGAGAUUAUAACUUGUUUGCCAGAGAACCUCUCCUGUGGCCAUGCCUGAACCUCUCCUGGGACUGUCCGUGGUCUUCACAUUGGUGCUUGGACACCCGUCCUUCGGGAGGGGAGGAAAAGCGGCCGGUAAAAUGGAGACAGUCGGUGGCGUGUGUUUGCCGAUUGGACUGGCAUUGGUAUAGACAGAUACCAAUCACUGCACAGACAUUUCCAGGGGCCCUUCCCCAGCCAUGUUUAGUGGCACUGACCUCAGGCAGCUGGGCCCCCGGGACAGCAACCAGGGGACUGCCCUGGCCCUGGAUGGCAGCCGGGACCGGCUCACAAGCUUCUGUUUGGAGCAGUUCUGUUGGCAGCCCCCCGCCUCCAGUGGAGAUGUGACACGACUCUUUCUUGCCUGCCAAACGUUCUCUGAUUCUUUGGAUCAUCGAUCCUAACACAGCAAAGGCGGUAUUGUUGCUGUCCUUUCAAGGUUAAUCCAGGAUCAGAAAAGUCUAAUCAUUUCUCUGUGGUUUUUGGAAUUUCCAAAGAGCACCCAGAUUUUAACCCUCAGUCCUCGGGGUUGUCCGGCUGCGGCUGUGCUGCUGUUGAGCAUUAAGCUCAUUCCACUUCACAUGUAAACUUGUUUCUAUGCAUUCACCUCCUGGGAGACUCCACAUUCCUGAGAGAACUGCAUGGUUAUGAACUCUUACUCGUGUGCACUAAAGUGCACGUGCUGUGUGUGUACUGACCCUCUGCCCUGUGGGAGCCACGUGCUGUGGGGAGAACAGACCAGCAGCAGAUGGGACUCCUCCUCCAGGAACCUGCUACCAGCUAGGCGUGGUGGUGCAAGCCUAUACUUCUGGCACUUUGGGAGGCUGUGGCAGGAGGAUCACUUGAGGCCAGGAAUUUGAGGCCAGCCUGGGCAACAUAGUGAGACCACGUCUCUUUUUGAAAAAAAAAAAAAAAAAAAAAGAAAGAAAAGAAAACGUAUUUUUCUUAAGUCGGGCAUGAGAGUGAGCCAGGGAAUUCAAGGAAGGCUGCCUAGAUAGAGAAGGGGACCCUGGGGAACAGUCUUAGAGGACGCAAAGUCUAUGCAGAUAAACCAGCGUCUGGUACUUGGUAUCAGUCAGGUGGCCAGUGAAUAAUGACUACGUGGAAUUACUGUGGACAGCAUUUUGAGAUCUGCAGAUUAAGCCAUUUUGACUUCCCAGAAGCAUUUUCUUAAAUCAGCGUAGAGACAGAAGAUGAAAGUUAACCUGAAUUGCUCGUCGCAAGCAAGCUCUGCCCGGGUCAGCCCCAGAGGGUUGCAGAACACUGUGUCUGUGUCCGCUGUCUUAAAGAGCCUAGUCCAUCUUUACGCGGUCUUUUUACGUCUGUUUAAGCCACACAGCAUGGUGGGGAGCGGAGGUGAUUUCGGAGCCUACUCUCCGAUCCUCAGGAUCCUCUUCGGGAGCAGCAGGCAGUGGCUUUCUCCUGGGCCAGGCAGGGUUGUCUGGGGAGUGGAACGUCUGCUAGAAAUGCAGAUCGCUGGGGCCACCGCCGUUUGGCCGUGUCAGUCAUCUGGGGGUCCCUUAGCCUCCGCAGAGUAAAGCUGUGGGAGUCACCACGGGUCCCCAUGUUGGGAUUGGGAAGCAGUCACCUACCAGAUGAGCGUUCCUUCCGCGAAGGGAAGGUGGGGGGAUUUUGAAGGAGCUGUGAACACCGAGGGUGCCGUCCUCGCCUGUGCUGCCAUGGGGUGCUCAGGACUGCCGGGCCCCGGGAGCCCCACCCGGCAGGACACACACCUGAGCCCCAGGGAGGGUCGGUGGCCAUGGCUGUGCUUGGCCGCCUCUGUGGGGCUCUAUCCUAAUUCAGUGAGGUCUCUCGCCACCUUCCUCCAGGGUCUUCCUGAGACAGAGACCGAGACUUCAGCUUCAAAAAGAAACCCUGGCCGGGUGCAGCAGCUCACGCCUGUAAUCCCAGCACUUUGGGAGGCCAAGGCAGGUGGAUCACCUGAGCUCAGGAGUUUGAGACCAGCCUGGCCAACAUGGUGAAACCCCAUCUCUACUAACAAUACAAAAACUAGCCAGGCCUGGUAGUGGGUACCAGUAAUCCUAGCUACUCGGGAGGCUGAGGCAGGAGAAUCGCUUGAACCCGGAAGGUGGAGUUUGCAGUGAGCUGAGAUCCAGCCACUGCCCUCCAGCCUGGGCGACAGAGCGAGACUCUGUCGAAACAAUUUAAAUAAAAAAAAGAAAAGGAAAAA